rnacentral:tRNA from 25 species
GGGCGAAUAGCUCAGCUGGGAGAGCGCCAGCCUUACAAGCUGGAUGUCACAGGUUCGAUCCCUGUUUCGCCCACCA